AUUGAACGCUGGCGGCAUGCCUUACACAUGCAAGUCGAACGCAGCACGGGAGCAAUCCUGGUGGCGAGUGGCGAACGGGUGAGUAAUAUAUCGGAACGUGCCCAGUCGUGGGGGAUAACGUAGCGAAAGCUACGCUAAUACCGCAUACGAUCUAUGGAUGAAAGCGGGGGAUCGCAAGACCUCGCGCGAUUGGAGCGGCCGAUAUCAGAUUAGGUAGUUGGUGAGGUAAAGGCUCACCAAGCCGACGAUCUGUAGCUGGUCUGAGAGGACGACCAGCCACACUGGGACUGAGACACGGCCCAGACUCCUACGGGAGGCAGCAGUGGGGAAUUUUGGACAAUGGGCGCAAGCCUGAUCCAGCAAUGCCGCGUGCAGGAUGAAGGCCUUCGGGUUGUAAACUGCUUUUGUACGGAACGAAACGGUGAGCUCUAAUACAGUUUGCUAAUGACGGUACCGUAAGAAUAAGCACCGGCUAACUACGUG
rnacentral:rRNA from 1 species